rnacentral:rRNA from 1 species
UACGGAGGGUGCAAGCAUUAAUCGGAUUUAUUGGGCGUAAAGGGCGCGUAGGCGGGGAUAUAAGUCAGAUGUGAAAUCCUGGGGCUCAACCUCAGAACUGCAUUUGAAACUAUAUCUCUUGAGGGUAGGAGGAGAAAACGGAAUUCCACAAGUAGCGGUGAAAUGCGUAGAUAUGUGGAAGAACACCGGUGGCGAAGGCGGUUUUCUAUCUUAUUCCUGACGCUGAGGCGCGAAAGCAAGGGGAUCAAACAGG